rfam:Picea glauca, whole genome shotgun sequence.
GAGAGCACAAUACGAUGAAAGUUGUGAGUUGUGUUCGGGGGGGAGUUAUUGUCUAUCGUUGGACUCUAUGGUAGAAUCAGGCGGGGAGGCCUAAGAGACAGUGGUUUACCCUGU